GGGGGGGGUAAGCGUUGUUCGGAAUUACUGGGCGUAAAGGGCUCGUAGGCGGCCAACUAAGUCGGACGUGAAAUCCCUCAGCUUAACUGGGGAACUGCGUCCGAUACUGGAUGGCUUGGAUUUGGGAGAGGGAUGCGGAAUUCCAGGUGUAGCGGUGAAAUGCGUAGAUAUCUGGAGGAACACCGGUGGCGAAGGCGGCAUCCUGGACCAAUAUUGACGCUGAGGAGCGAAAGCUAGGGGAGCAAACGGGAUUAGAUACCCCGGUAGUCCUAGCCCUAAACGAUGAAUGCUUGGUGUGGCGGGUAUCGAUCCCUGCCGUGCCGAAGCUAACGCAUUAAGCAUUCCGCCUGGGGAGUACGGUCGCAAGGCUG
rnacentral:rRNA from 1 species